rnacentral:rRNA from 1 species
UACAGAGGGUGCAAGCGUUGUUCGGAAUUACUGGGCGUAAAGCGCGUGUAGGUGGCGGCGUAAGUCGGGUGUGAAAUCCCUUGGCUUAACCAAGGAAGUGCACUCGAUACUGUGUCGCUUGAGUAUCGGAGGGGUCGGCGGAAUUCCCGGUGUAGAGGUGAAAUUCGUAGAUAUCGGGAGGAACACCUGUGGCGAAGGCGGCCGACUGGACGAUUACUGACACUGAGACGCGAAAGCGUGGGUAGCAAACAGG